rnacentral:rRNA from 1 species
CAGCAGCCACGGGAAUACGAAGGGGGCUAGCGUUGUUCGGAAUUACUGGGCGUAAAGCGCACGUAGGCGGAUAUUUAAGUCAGGGGUGAAAUCCUAGAGCUCAACUCUGGAACUGCCUUUGAUACUGGGUAUCUUGAGUAUGGAAGAGGUGAGUGGAAUUCCGAGUGUAGAGGUGAAAUUCGUAGAUAUUCGGAAGAACACCAGUGGCGAAGGCGGCUUACUGGCUCAUACUGGACGCUGAGGUGCGAAAGCGUGGGGAGCAAACAGGAUUAGAUACCCGCGUAGUCCAUGUCUCUUAUAA